GAUGAAGAACGCAGCGAAAUGCGAUAAGUAAUGUGAAUUGCAGAAUUCAGUGAAUCAUCGAAUCUUUGAACGCAUCUUGCGCUCCUUGGUAUUCUGAGGAGCAUGCCUGUUUGAGUGUCAUUAAAUUCUCAACUACACUGACUUUGAAUUGGUGUGGCUUGGAUUUGGGGGGAAAAUUGUUGUGGGCUUUUUGUAUAGUCUGCUCCCCUGAAAUUGAUUAGCGGUACCUUUGUGGAACUGUCUACAGGUGUGAUAAUUAUCUACAUCUUAGACAUCUGCUGGAAUGCUGCUUUCUAAACCUUACUUGUAUUGACAAUCUUGACCUCAAAUCAGGUAGGACUACCCGCUGAACUUAAGCAUAUCAAUAAGCGGAGUA
rnacentral:misc_RNA from 1 species